UCCCCGGUGGCGCAGCGGUAGCGCGGCUCGCUGUUAACGAGAAGGUCGUAGGUUCGAAUCCUACCCGGGGAG
rnacentral:tRNA from 1 species